CGAAAAGUUAUAUUGCACACGACAUGAAUAUAUAUAUCAGUUAAAUAAUAUAAGAUACUAGUAUAUAGUUUUGCGUUUGAGAGGAUUCGAAGAGGGGAAUGGCCGAAAAGUUGAUUCUCCUCAUAAAAAGUUUCAUAUAUCGAGUCCAGGUUCCCUCCAUUUAGUGUAUCAUCCAUUUAGCCUAUUAAUUGCAUGGAUUAGUGACAUGUGUAAAAAAUAAAUCUAAGGGCUGGGAUCAAAACUUUACAAAAAUGCAUCUUCUAUGUGAUUUCUCAGUUUUCCCUUCUCCCAUAACCCAACUAUCUCUUUCUCUUAUUUCCGCCGCCGCCGUCGUCCAUCCCAGCGCCGCCUGUAUGAUGGUAUUGUUCUCUGUUUCACUUUACUUGGGGCAAAUUGACAACAACCAUAGAAUCAAACUAAGCAAAUACAACCCAACUAUUGUGGCCUAACAAAAUUAAAUUUCCCAGAAGAAGUGUUAUAAGCUUAGCAAUUACAUCCUUUAACUUCAUAUUCAUCUUUCUAUCAAUUUUUUUUUUUCUUUCACACAUUCAACAUCGAGAUUAUGAAUUCUUCCAUGUUUUCUUCACACCCAUCUUUUAUGAAUUAUUUUAUGCCUAGAAUCAACAUCGCUGCUUAGAAAACAAAUAGACAAAGGGUAAGCUUCGCCGGAAAACUUCUGUCUGUCGUAGAUCUGAUGUUGUCGCGGUUCCACGAGCUAGCCACCACCUUUUGUUUCAGAUCUCACCUUCCACCUAACACCCAUCACAGUGGUUGUUUCCGCCAUUAUUGUCGUUACCCAACACCACCACCCGUCGCUAU
rnacentral:lncRNA from 1 species